rnacentral:lncRNA from 1 species
CUCAUUUUCAGACAAAUAAAACCCCUCUCAAAAAUCCAAUUCGGUGCUAGCGCCAAAGCAAGUCGAAAGUAAAGAUUUGUUGGUUGAUUCUUCUCUUUCAUUUCCAGACAAAGGAAGCCCCUGCCCGUGACCCAUGUUGGUGCAAGCAAAAAAUCUCUACUUUCGACCUAGCGAUUGUGAAUUAGAUAAACACAUAGCAGCUUCGACUAUUUCUUCUCUCUCAUUUUCAGCCAAAAUAGACCGAUACGAGUUCAGAAUCUAGGUCGAAUUGAACGGAUUUAGAAGAGAAGCUCAGAAUAUCUGUUUACCCAUACAAGUUCGGUCUCUCUCUCUCUCUCUCUAUUUUUACUCACAUUUAUAUGAACUUUUAUUUUGAUUACAUUAUUGAUAAACAAUUUUCUAGUUAUGAUUUAGACAUUAAAUUUAGACAUUUUGAUUAUUGGAUUUUCCAGCUUUCGUGGUUUAGUAAUUUGGGACUCUUUUUUCAUUUGGUUUUCAAGGAUUAUGUGUUUUGCACCUUUCGGUGGUUUUAAAGUUUAAGACCAAUGAUUAUUUGAAUUAUUCAGAUUAUUACAAUAGUUUAAUUGUUAUGAAUUUAUGAUUGUUGAAAUAAUCUCAAAAAUAGUUUGAAUUUGCUGGUCAAAAAUUGUUGAAAGAAGACAUAAGACUAAAGAUAAUUUGGAUUUGUUCAUCGUGGUCACUUUUGCCUUAAAAAACAUAAACAGCUCAUCUGGAUUCUAAAAGACUUAAAAUACAUCUUUUCUGUUUGAUGAAAUGUCUAUGAAGGAUGUGGGUUCUUGGACUGCACUUGUAAUCCACACUGCUAACACUUUGUGGAUUCAUUAUUAAUUAGAAUUUUGUUUGAUCAAUUGCGUAGUACAUAAAUUCUCUGAUAAACAAAAGGCCAUCAAAUAUAUGUUUCACCAACACUCAUACCUUAAUCUUUGUCAAAUUUUCAUUACACCCUUCAACAUUUUCAUUACAUAUGUUAAAGUUCAUUUGUGUCAUUCCAAUUUGAUUUCUAUAUAACUACAAACAUAUAUACUGCUAAAGAUUAAUCGAAGCUUGGGAUUGUCCUUCAUCUAAAGAUUAUUAAAGUUGUAUGGACGCAAGUCUCAUUCUCCAGUAUACUGGGAUGAAGUGGGUGAAGCAACGUUGUUGGGACCAAAAUUGGUUUGCAUGACAACGAAAAAGAUUCAAAUGAUCCGACAACGUAUAAAGACCUCACAAGAUCGACAAAAGAGUUAUGCUGAUCUUCAUCGAAAAGAUGUGGAAUUCAAUGUUGGAGAUCAUGUGUUGUUACGUGUUGCUCCAUGGAAGGGAGUUACGAGAUUUGGGAAGAGAGGAAAGCUCAAUUCUCGAUUCAUUGGCCCAUUUGAAAUCCUCGAUCGAGUAGGAACUGUGGCCUAUAGACUCGCUUUACCGCCAAGUAUGUCUCGUGUUCAUAACAUUUUUCACAUAUCUAUGUUACGUAAAUAUGUGGAAGACCUGAACCACAUUAUUGAGUUAGAACUAGAUGAGAUAUCGGAAGAUUUAACGUAUGAAGAGGUACCUGUUAAAAUCUUGGAUAAGAAGGAACAUAUUCUACUCUCCAAGGUUAUACCUCAAGUCAAAAUUUUGUGGAGAAACCACGAUGUUGAGGAAAUGACCUAGGAGUUAGAAUCUAAAAUGAAAUCAAUGUAUCCUCACCUUUUCGACAUACCAGGUACAUACCCCAAUUUUGAGGACAAAAUUUCAUAAGAAGGGGAGGUUGUAAGACCCCAACUUUCAUAAAUAAUGAUUAAUUUUUUCGAAAUAUAUUUUUGAAUAUUAUGGUGUGGAUUUGAUAUAAUGUUAUAGUUGUGGGUAAUAUUUAUAAAUUUUGCAAAGUAAGCAAGUUGUUAUAAAAUAUUCGAUUGGUCGGGGAAUAUUUAUUUUAACAGAAAAUAUUCGUACGACGGCACAAUCAUUGGUGGACCCCACAAUGGAAUUAUUGUCGGAGUUAGAAAACGACAGAAAUACCUUUUUAUAAAGAUAACGGCGAAACUUUUACCGUUAACUGUUGAAAUACCCGGUGGUAAAUGUACAGGAAUACGCAUGGUUGCAUAGUAGUACACGGUAUUGAUUAUUGAUACUUACGUGAGAAGUCACUCAGUUAUACUCAAUUAUUGCCACAGUAAUUGCUGCAUAGUAUCUCACGUUAUUGAUUCAAUUAUUGUCACAAUAUUUUAUAUUAUUAAAUCAAUAAUUGAGACGACAAGUUAUUCAUAUUAUUAUUUGCAUUAUCGACCAUGUCUAGAAAGUUCUGUCGAGGAAAGGGGUUUGGUCACCUAAUUGCGCGCCAAUAGGGAGAAAUCCUUAUCGGAAAGCCCCAUCUUUCCUGGGAAUGAUAUGGUUGUUAAUAUUGCAAGUUAUAUUAUUGAUGAUUAAAUGUUGUUAAAAAUAUUGAGGAAAUUUUUAUGAAGUAUUUGUUAUAAAUUUUGCUUACUAUUUGGACCCCCACUUAUCCAUUUUUCAAAACUUUCGGUAGAAGUUAUCUCAGUUUUAUUAUAUAUAUAUGUAUAUAUAUAUAUAUAUAUUUCAAGUUCACGGGGGAGUGGGGGGAGUUACCUGAAUGGGAGGGAGUAGUUUUAUUAUUAUUAUUAUUAUUAUAAUAAGUUUUGUUUUAUAUAAAAAAUAGAAUAUAUUAUAUUUUAUUAUGCAUAGUGUUUGCAUAGUAAAAUCAGAAAAUUCAGCCGAAUCCGUGAAUCAGUUACUGUGCGUCCGUUAUUUUUUCCUUACUGUGCAUUAAAAUAGUAUCCUAUAAAUAGGAUGCUUAGUUUAGAAUUAAAAAUCACACCAGAAUCAGAGAAUUAUUCUUUUAUAAUAUUGAGUGUAUUUCUUUCGAGUUUUAGAAAGCUUUUAUUAUAGAAAAUAUUAUUUCUUCAAUAAUAUCCCCGCCCUACCAGUCGUGAUACUUUUCUUUAUAAGGUAAGGGAUAUUAUUUUUGUUCAAUAUUCGUAAGAAAUAAUAUUUCCUUCCAUACUCUGUAAUAUGUAAGUAAUAUUAUUUUGUUUCAGAUUCUGAAUUCUACACUCAUUUUGUUAAAUUAUUGCUUCUAUUGUAAGACCCCAAAUUUUAUGAAUAAGGAUUUAAUUUUUGAAAUAUUUUUUUAAUAUUAAGGUGUGGAUUUGAUAUAAUUUCAUAGUUGUGGGUAAUAUUUACAAAUUUUACAAAGUAUGCAAGUUGUUAUAAAAUAUUCGAUUGGUCGGGGAAUAUUCAUUUUAUCAGGGAAUAUUCGUACGACGGCACAACCAUUGGUGGACCCCACAACGGAAUUACUGUCGGAGUUAAAAAAUGACAGAAAUAUCUUUUUAUAAAAAUAUCGGCGAAAGUUUUACCGUUAGACUGUUAAAAUACCCGAUGGUAUAAGUAUUGUAAUACGCGUGAUUACAUAGUAGCACACGGUAUUGAUUAUUGAUGCUUACGUGAGAAGUCACUCAGUUUUAUUCAAUUAUUGCCACAGUAAUUGCUACACAACAUCUCUCAUAUUAUUGAUUCAAUUAUUAUCACAAUAUCAUCUGUAUAAUAUUUUAUAUUAUUAAAUCAAUAAUUGAGACGACAAAGUUAUUCAUAUUAUUAUUUGCAUUAUUGACGAUGUAUAGAAAGUUUUGUCGAGGAAAGGGGUUUGGUCACCUUAUUGUGCGCCAAUAGGGAGAAAUCCUUAUCAGAAAGCCCCCUAUUUCCUGGGAAUGAUCUGGUUGUUAAAUACUUUGAGUUAUAAUAUUAAUGAUGAAUAAGUUUGUGUUGAUUAAAGAUGAAAUUGAUAUUUCCAUUGUGUUGGGAUUAUUAGUGUUAGUGGAAAUCGACAUUUAUUUUGAUAAUAAUUAAUUUCUGGAUGUUCAAUUGACCAAUCGGGUAAUUAAUCGGAUAAAUGAGCAAUUAAUUACUAUUAGUUCACAUGCAUAUAACUAUUUGUUCACAUGAAUGAAACUAUUGAUUCACAUGAUGUAUUAUUAGGGGAGGUGGUGCAAGUUUGAUAAUACUUGUAGGACUAAAUUAAAAAUGGAAGAAAAGAUGAAGGUACUAUACUGUAAUAAUUUGAGCCCUAAAACAUGCAAUUAUCGAAACUAUAUUUUCAUAUAAAUAAAAGCUCAUUUUUCUUUCAUUCUCACCAAUUCACUAAGACUCACAAGAGCAAUUAUAGAGAGAGAAGCUAUCGAGAGAAAGAAUAAGAGUAUUCUGCUACUUCACUAUUUCAGUAUCCAGCCUUCUACUAGGGUAAGGGGUAUUAUAUCUUUCGUAUUCGUAAGGGAUGUUAUUUAUUUCUUUUUCGUAAGGGAUAUUAUUUUUGUUCAAUAUUCAUAUGUAAUAGUAUUUGCUUUCAUACUCUGUAGUAUGUGAGUAAUAUUAUUUCGUUUCGUAUCCCUAAUUCUACACUCAUUUUGUUGAAGUAUUGCUUCUAUACUCCAUGAAAUUAGUAGAAUAUCCUUGAAAUUUGCGCUUCAUCUAGUAUCGUUUCACGAGGAUAUUUUUUGAACAUUCUUGUUAAAUUUUAAAUUUUUCAUGCCAGAGUACUAUUCAGUGGUACUAUUCAUUUAUACUACACUAUUUAUACGUACAGUACUAUUCACAAAGUACUAUUUAUGGGCACUAUUCAUAAAUACAAAACUAUUCAUAAAUACGGUACUAUUCAUAAAGUACUAUUUAUAAAGUACUAUUCACGAAUUACUAUUCACAAAGUACUAUUCACAGGGUACUAUUCAUGAAGUACUAUUCACGGGGUUCUAUUCAAAAAGUACUAUUUCUGAAGUACUAUUCACGGGUACUAUUCACUCGGGUACUAUUCACCCAGGGUACUAUUCAUGACUAAAAUUGAUUUCUUUUCUGUCCAAAUUAUUUUUGAUAUAAUAUUAUUCUUGAAUUUUACUCCACAAAGCAGUAUCAUGUUGACAAAAUGGAUAUUAUUUAAUUCUAGAUAAAUUAAAUUAUAAAUCUUUAAAAUUUAUCCCUACUUUCAUUUAAUUGAAUUCUUAUAUCAUUGUCAUCAUCCUCAUGCUUAUAUUGGGUUAAAAGUCAUCUUUGGCUGUAGUGCAUAGAUGGACUGCUGAUCGGUAUGAUUAUGACCAGGGAUUAUUCGGUAUAAUUAUGACCCGUAAUGUUACAAAUGAUGCGGUAAAAGUCUUUACUGGCCCGUAGUGAAUUGAUCGACAGAUGUUGGUAUGAUCAUAACCAUGCGUUCUCUUCGGCCAAGGUGCAAAGAUGAAUUGUUGUUUGGCAUGAUCAUGACCAUUGGUGAAAACACGAAUUAUUCUUGGCCCGUAGUGCAUGGAUAAUUCGUGGUCGUGAUACUAAUGAAUAUCUUUGGCCCGUAGUGCAUGGAUAAUUCAGUGUUGUGGAUUAUUUAUUAUGCUGAGUCUCAGCGAUAAAAUUGAUGAUAAACUUUUAAAUCAUAGAAGAUAGUAGAUAUCAUGCUCUGCUUAACUCUUCUAAUGAAUUGCUUAUUCCGCUGCAGUUGUUGAUCUAAAACUUGUUGUCUAUUGUAUUCUAUCAGUUGUUAUACUGUUGAAGGCUAAUGAUAAUUUAUUCUGUAUUAUCUUAGUCAUAAUAUUUCUUACUGGGCUAGUUGAGCUCACCCUUUUCUUUCACUGUUCUCUUCAAGAAAUGAGAAUAUAGUUGGGACGAGUCGGCAAAUGGAGUGAUGGUCCAGGAUAAGUGGCUAUAGUAGUCCUCACUAUUCUGUGAAAUAGUAUGAUAAUAAUUGUAAUGAGAUUGAAUUUGAGUUUGGAUAUUGUCUAGAAGACAAUAUUCGUGUUAAAACUCUCAGCUACGCUCUUUUCGUAUUGUAUAAAAGAAGUUGUAGUUGUAUUCUGUACCAUGUAUUUGACGAUUCAGAAUGAGUGAUGUAUACCUAUUUUGGGGACACCACAUUUAUACUCCUUGAAAUUAGUAGAAUAUCCUUGAAAUUUGCGUAUCAUCUAGUAUCUUUUCACGGAAAUAUUAUUCUAAACAUUCUCGAUAAUUUUUAAUAUUUUCAUGUCUGGGUACUAUUCACGGGAUACUAUUCCCGAAGUACUAUUCAUGAGGUACUAUUCACUCAAGCACUAUUCACCCGGGGUACUAUUCAUGAUAAAAAUUGAUUUCUUUUUCGUCCAAAUCAUUUUUGAUACAAUAUUAUUCUUGAAUUUUACUCCACAAAGCAGUAUCAUGUUGACAAUUUGGACAUUAUUAUAUUCUGAAUAAAUUAAAUUAUAAAUCUUUAAAAUUUAUCCUUGCUCUCAUUUAAUUGAAUUCUUAUAUCAUUGUCAUCAUCCUUGUAACGAUCGAAAAAUUUGUAAUUUAAUUUAAAUAUUUAUUGAAUUAAAUAAAUAUUUUAAGUAAUUUAUUGAUUGAGGAAAAUAAAUAAUUGAUGAAUUGUGGUGAAUUAAUUUAGUAACUAAAUUAGUUAAUGUUAAUUAAAUUGAGUGUGGAUAAUUUUAUCUGAAGGAUUUAAUUUAAGGAAAUAAUUAAAUUAAAUCAAUUGCUUAAUAUUUAAGAAGAUAAUUAAAUGAAUUGUUUAAUUUAAAGGAAAUAAAUAAAUUAAACAAAGUGAUAUUUCUAAUUUAUUAAUUAAAUUAGAUAUAUAAUUAUUUAUUAUUCAUAAAAGUAAUUAUAAUAGAAAUUAUUUUAAUUACCAUUAUAAGUUAUUUAAAUUAAUUAAGCUAAAGUUAGUUAAUUAACUAGAGUGUGACACAUGAAACUAUAUAAUAUAAAUAAUAUAAAAAUAAUUUAGUUUAUGAGGUUGUUUGGUAGCCAAACAAGGCCUUGUGGCCUUUGGCUUAUUCAACUGACGCAAACUUAUUGUUUUGUUAACUGACGUACGUGGGAUUGUGGCCAAUUUAUAUUUCCUACGCGUCUUAUUUUUUCCCUAAGUCUAGUUAUCAGUGAAGAGCAUAGAGAGAGCUUGGAAGCAAGAGAGAAAACAUUGUGAUUGUGAGUUUCUAAGAUUGUCAGGAGGAAGAAGGAGAAUUUCUAAGCCCUAAUACUAUCUUUUGCUAGCAUUCAAUCAAGGGUUUAAGGUAUAAUCUACCCCUAAUUCUAAUUUGUAGUCUUGUAAUUUUUUAUUCUCUGAAGUUGGUUUUGUGGAAUUGUUGUACAAGAUAUUGUUGAUUAUAUAUAUGUAUACUCUUGGUAAAUUGGUUGGUUAUCACCUGUGAUUGUAUAUCCGUUAUCAAAUUCAUGUAAAUUGGGUGUAGGAAGAAAAAGGAAAAAUCAUAGUGUUUAUGUUCAUAUAAUAUGGUUUAGAAAGUACAAAAUUUCAUGCUUAAUGUUUGUUAGAAUCUAUAAUUUGAUGUUAGAAUAUGUUAGUAGGUUAAGAAACGAAAGCGGCGUAGUUUAAAUCAUGUCAAUUGAUUAAGAAACAAAUUCGUGGUAAUCGAAUUCGCUAAAAGUGUCAAAAUGGAAGAAAUUUGGAAAAUUAUAGUUUUGAUUCUUCAAAUUCGUGUAUAUGUGAUGUUUUUAUAUAUAGAAUGAUGAAUAGCAUGUGUAGCUAUGUUAGUAAAAAGUUUUAGAUGUUGAAGUUUUGUGAAUUACUGUAGAAUUGGGAUUUUUGGCGAGAGCAGAGUCUAAGUUCGCGUUCUGCAAAACUGAAACUGAUGCAUCACGCGGGCGUGCUGUCUGGUGUGUUGAUGUCGUGCGGGCGCGCUAUAUCGUGGCGCGGGCGCACUGCUUCCGCGUGGGCGCGCUGUAAUCCAAUGUAAAACUGGCUCGACCGCGCCAGUGGUCAGUCAGACCCAGUGCUGAGCUGUUAAUAGCAUAGCUUGGAAAUUGUUAACCUAACUUAUUUUAUGAUUGAAGAGGAACCUAAAAUGUGUUAUAAGAUAUAACAACAUGUUGUAAUCACAACGUUGAAAUUAUAGAUUAUGAAUUGGUAAGUUAUGUGAUGAACCAAAUGUGAUGUUUUCAAAAGUUAAAAAUAAAUGAUAAGGUUUAUGUUAGUUUGUAGUGAGAUUUCAGAUUCAUUAAGGAUGUUAACCAACAUGAUUAGAAAUUAGGAUAAAGUUAUGUUUUAAAUGGUGGGUUAAACCCAUAAAGCUAAUAUUAAUACAACUAAUUGUUAUUGCGAUUUCAAUGAUAUAUGUAGGGUAAUUGGCGA